rnacentral:rRNA from 1 species
GACGAACGCUGGCGGCGUGCUUAACACAUGCAAGUCGAACGGAAAGGCCCUGCUUUUGUGGGGUGCUCGAGUGGCGAACGGGUGAGUAACACGUGAGUAACCUGCCCUUGACUUUGGGAUAACUUCAGGAAACUGGGGCUAAUACCGGAUAGGAGCUCCUGCUGCACGGUGGGGGUUGGAAAGUUUCGGCGGUUGGGGAUGGACUCGCGGCUUAUCAGCUUGUUGGUGGGGUAGUGGCUUACCAAGGCUUUGACGGGUAGCCGGCCUGAGAGGGUGACCGGCGACAUUGGGACUGAGAUACGGCCCAGACUCCUACGGGAGGCAGCAGUGGGGAGUAUUGCACAAUGGGCGGAAGCCUGAUGCAGCAACGCCGCGUGCGGGAUGACGGCCUUCGGGUUGUAAACCGCUUUCGCCUGUGACGAAGCGUGAGUGACGGUAAUGGGUAAAGAAGCACCGGCUAACUACGUG